AGAGUUUGAUCAUGGCUCAGAUUGAACGCUGGCGGAAUGCUUUACACAUGCAAGUCGAACGGCAGCACGGGUACUUGUACCUGGUGGCGAGUGGCGAACGGGUGAGUAACAUAUCGGAACGUAUCCAAUAAUGGGGGAUAACGAGUCGAAAGAUUCGCUAAUACCGCAUACGCCCUACGGGGGAAAGCUAGGGACCUUCGGGCCUGGCGUUAAUGGAGCGGCCGAUAUCUGAUUAGCUAGUUGGUGAGGUAAAGGCUCACCAAGGCGACGAUCAGUAGCUGGUCUGAGAGGACGACCAGCCACACUGGAACUGAGACACGGUCCAGACUCCUACGGGAGGCAGCAGUGGGGAAUUUUGGACAAUGGGGGCAACCCUGAUCCAGCCAUUCCGCGUGAGUGAAGAAGGCCUUCGGGUUGUAAAGCUCUUUCGCAAGGGAAGAAAACUUAUCCUCUAACAUAGGAUGAGGUCGACGGUACCUUGAUAAGAAGCACCGGCUAACUACGUGCCAGCAGCCGCGGUAACACGUAGGGUGCGAGCGUUAAUCGGAAUUACUGGGCGUAAAGCGUGCGCAGGCUGUUUUGUAAGUCAGAUGUGAAAUCCCCGAGCUCAACUUGGGAACUGCGUUUGAAACUACAAGACUAGAAUAUGUCAGAGGGGGGUAGAAUUCCACGUGUAGCAGUGAAAUGCGUAGAGAUGUGGAGGAAUACCAAUGGCGAAGGCAGCCCCCUGGGAUAAUAUUGACGCUCAUGCACGAAAGCGUGGGGAGCAAACAGGAUUAGAUACCCCGGUAGUCC
rnacentral:rRNA from 1 species